rnacentral:rRNA from 1 species
GAUCCUGGCUCAGGAUGAACGCUGGCGGCAUGCCUAAUACAUGCAAGUCGAACGAGAGGAAGGAAAGCUUGCUUUUCUGAAUCUAGUGGCGAACGGGUGAGUAACACGUAGGUAACCUGCCCAUGUGCCCGGGAUAACUUCUGGAAACGGAUGCUAAAACCGGAUAGGUAGCAGACAAGCAUUUGACUGCUAUUAAAGUGGCCUUGGUCAUGAACAUGGAUGGACCUGCGGUGCUA